rnacentral:snoRNA from 1 species
AUUGAUGAUGAUUUAAACAUUCUUCACUUUGACCUGAAUAUCUAUAUUACAUAGAGA